rnacentral:rRNA from 1 species
GAUGAACGCUGGCGGCGUGCUUAACACAUGCAAGUCGAACGAACGACUAUUAACAGAACCUUUCGGGGCGAAGAUGAUAGAAGUUAGUGGCGGACGGGUGCGUAACGCGUGGGUAAUCUGCCUUUGUCAAAGGAAUAACUAUUCGAAAGAAUAGCUAAAACCGUAUAACAUAUUAAUAGGGCAUCCUAAUAAUAUCAAAACGAUAGUGGACAAAGAUGAGCCCGCGUCUGAUUAGCUAGUUGGUGAGAUAAAAGCCCACCAAGGCAACGAUCAGUAGCCGACCUGAGAGGGUGAACGGCCACAUUGGAACUGAGACACGGUCCAAACUCCUACGGGAGGCAGCAGUGGGGAAUAUUGCACAAUGGGGGGAACCCUGAUGCAGCAACGCCGCGUGAGUGAAGAAGGCAUUCGUGUCGUAAAACUCUGUAGUAGGGGAAGAAAGAAAUGACAGUACCCUAAAAGAAAGCCCCGGCUAACUACGUGCCAGCAGCCGCGGUAAUACGUAGGGGGCAAGCGUUAUCCGGAAUAACUGGGCGUAAAGGGUGCGCAGGUGGUUUAACAAGUUAGUGGUGAAAGGCAUAGGCUCAACCAAUGUAAGCCAUUAAAACUGUUUAACUUGAGUGCAGGAGAGGAAAGUGGAAUUCCUAGUGUAGCGGUGAAAUGCGUAGAUAUUAGGAGGAAUACCAGUGGCGAAGGCGACUUUCUGGACUGCAACUGACACUGAGGCACGAAAGCGUGGGGAGCAAACAGG